rnacentral:lncRNA from 1 species
GGUGAAGUUGAAGCUGGUUUCCAGAGUGUUUGGCAACUAGAAUGUUGUUAACUCUAAAAAAUAUGAUUAUCAGAAUAUAUUGCCAUCAUUGCUCUUAGUUCGCGGAGCCCAGCUGUCAUACUCCUUUUUCCUUAUUUUUCUUUUCCUACCUUAUCUUCUCCUCGCCGACGGUGUACACCAGCUCGAGCUCCUUCCCACCGAUUGCGGCGCCGAGGGUCAGCUCCCAUGGCGCCUCGUUGGCCACGGCAGCUCCACC